rnacentral:rRNA from 1 species
UAAGGAAUAUUGGACAAUGGAGGCAACUCUGAUCCAGCCAUGCCGCGUGAAGGAAUAAGGCCCUAUGGGUUGUAAACUUCUUUUAGACGGGACAAAACCCCUUUACGUGUAAAGGGUUGAUGGUACUGUCAGAAUAAGCAUCGGCUAACUUCGUGCCAGCAGCCGCGGUAAUACGAAGGAUGCAAGCGUUAUCCGGCAUUAUUGGGUUUAAAGGGUGCGUAGGCGGACUAAUAAGUCAGUGGUGAAAGCCUGCAGCUUAACUGCAGAAUUGCCAUUGAUACUGUUAGUCUUGAGUACAGUUGAGGUAGGCGGAAUGUGUCAGGUAGCGGUGAAAUGCUUAGAUAUGACACAGAACACCUAUUGCGAAGGCAGCUUGCUAAGCUGUAACUGACGCUGAGGCACGAAAGCGUGGGGAGCAAACA